GCCUUCUCUGUUCUUAAAGUCACCUGUGAUUCAUAAUAUUCACCUGUCACAGUUUUUACUUCAUUAAUAUCUUUCCUCUGUUCAGGCAGCAAUUCUGCAUUUCUUCGAGUGGUAAGAUGUCGAUCCUUAGCUGAAGAAUAUGGUUUGGAUACAAUUAACAAGGAUGAAAUUAUUUCUAGCAUGGACAAUCCAGAUAAUGAAAUAGUGUUGUACUUAAUGUUACGGGCUGUUGAUAGAUUUCA